UUAUCUCUGUAGAGUCUGCAUAUCAAUAAGCGGAGGAAAAGAAACUAACAAGGAUUCCCUUAGUAACGGCGAGUGAAGCGGGAAGAGCUCAAAUUUGAAAUCUUCAAGGUUCUACCUUGACGAAUUGUAGUUUAAAGAAGUGUUUUCUGUUAGAUGAGUAGCAAAAGUUCCUUGGAAUGGGACAUCAUAGAGGGUGAGAAUCCCGUAUUUGGUUAUUCAUUCUAGCUUUGUGAUACACUUUCAAAGAGUCGGAUUGUUUGGGAAUGCAGUCCAAAAUGGGUGGUAAAUUUCAUCUAAAGCUAAAUAUUGGCGAGAGACCGAUAGCGAACAAGUACCGUGAGGGAAAGAUGAAAAGAACUUUGAAAAGAGAGUUAAACAGUACGUGAAAUUGUCAAAAGGGAAGCGUUUGACACCAGUGUUGUUUUUCCGAAAAUCAAUUACGAAUGGCUUGAUUUUGUGUUGUAUUGACCUUAUCAGCUUUCUUCACUUUUUUCGAGUCUUUCUUAAUGCACUUUUCGGUUAACAAGUCAACAUCAAUUUCUUUUGUUGUAAAAGAGUAUUCGGAAGGUGGCUUUCUUUUCGGAGAAAGUGUUUAUAGCCCUAUACUUCUACAAUCGGAGAGAUUGAGGUCUGCAGCGUAGAUCCUUCGGGGUUAGAUACACUUGUGCUAAGUUGUAGCUUUUCAUAGACAACUUGUUGACUAUGUUUAGUCAUGCGGCUUACUCGCUUGUGCUAUUUUACCUACGCUUAGGAUGUUGACUGAUAUGUAGUCGUA
rnacentral:rRNA from 1 species